CCUGUUGCUUGAACAAGGUCACAAAUCUGGUGAGCCAGGGCUUUGGGGGCUGAGAAGCCCAGCGUGCGUCCCAGCUCUGCCACUCCCCAAAGCGGUUCACUCCUCCGAACCUCACUUUCCUCCUUCAUAAAGUGAGGACGGAUGCCUCUUCCGUAAGCUUCUCGAGAGGGUGAAGUAGGCCACGACUGUGAAGCACGACGCUGUGAGCUACAAACACUCUGGGAGUGUGUCUGUCUUGCUUGCUGUUGAAAGCUCCAGGCUCAGCGUAGCUGUGGCACACAGUAGGUGCUCAACAGGAAAUAUUUGAUCCAGGACUUAAGAGGUCUUCUGUCCACACCGCCUGAUACACUGCGUGAUUCAUACAUGAGCUUCCAAUGAAUGCAUGAUGCACCUGCCUUUCGGCCUGUCUCCUUCCACCUGCAAUCGCACAACACCGACGCAGCCUGCGAGCUCCAUUUUCUUGAUUUCCCUGUGGUUGUGGACCAGCUCUCAACUUUGCUUCAGACGCGGCUGGGCGCGUGCGGCCAGCAGGGGGCGCAUCUGCAGCGCUUCGGAGGGACCAGCGGCUGCCGGGCCCUGGGAGGAACUCCACACCCAGCUGACCUGCAGAGAACCCCUAUCAUCCCCUCUUUUUUACACAUCUUCGCUCUGCAGUUGAGAAGGGAGAUACUCCUGUCUCAUAAUACGUUGAAUAUACUCCAGGUGGUGUACACAGUGUGGAUGGAGCUGGGCUCAGACUCAGUUCUGGGCACUGGAUUGAAGUCCUAGGCUCUCAUGACACUGGCCACUGAGUAACUGAAUUUCCGUGUGCAAGUCCUUUUCAUUCUCUUAGCCUUGGUUUCCUUAUCUGUAAAAGGGGGUGUGUGGUUGUGUGGAGGCCCUCUUGGAUCCUGUCCAGAUAAAACACGCGUAGAGUGGAGCAGGCUAACAUUCUGGAUGAAUUCGAUACAAAUGAAGAAUAAUUGUUACAAAAAAGUUUUUAGGCUGUCUUGUCCCUACAAGACUUCACCCAAAAGAGCAGUGAGCACUGGGGCCCUGUGGGCUACAGAGCCACCUUGGAGAAUUUGACAGUUAAUUCUGACACAUCACCUUCCGUAUCAUCACGGCCAGGUCCCUUGCUCAGUCUGUGGCCCCCAGCAUCUGCUACUGUCCUCUUGGUCACUGCAAGCACCUUAGAGUUUAAAAGCCAGGUUUUGAGACCUGAGGGCUUGGGUUGGAAUUUUGGAAUUGCAAGUUACUUAAACUCUCCAUGCCUUGGUUUCUUUACCUGUAGAAUGAGCAGGGCUGAUAUUCACAAUGUUUGACAACUAGCAUGGCUCAGGUCCCGACUUGGCCCUAAAGAGUGUCCCAGAGGCCCCCUGAUGCGCCAGGCAUUCACUCUUUGAUGUUGGUUUUUGAUGUUUGGCUCCUGGAUAAGGCCCAGGCAGCGAUGGGACACUGAGGAAUUCAGGGCAGAGGCAUUUGUCAACUGAUAUGGAAAUAUUUAAAAAACAUUCUAACAUGUGUUUUGGCUGUGCUGGUUAGUACUCUGAAUACCAGCACUGAAGACAGGGAUAAGAAUGCCUGCACACAGGGCUGUGGGGAGGCUCACAUGAGGUAAUGCCGAUGAAGCACUUAGCCUGGCACAUGGGGGUGCUAGGUCAAGUCAGCCAUCAUGAGGUUCUUGCUGCCUUGUCUGUAGGUGGCCUUUCCAGCCCAGCCAUCUCCCUGCUGGGAUGUGCAGCUGACUAUGAGCAUGUAAUUCAGAAACAAGCCCUUCAAAAGGCCUCCCACGGACCCUGGCGGAAAGGAUGAUCUUCUGAUCCCAGGAGCAAAUACUUACAAAGUCAUCUGACCACUGCUCCUCUUCGUCAGCAAGGUCUUCUGCAGUGGCAUGUGGGAAGCAGAAAGCACAAGCGUCAAUCUCAGCUCCACCCUGUCCCCAAGCUCCCUGCGCCCACCUUCCUUGCCCCUGGGCUUCCUGGUCCUGUUUCCUUGGCCUUGAACGGUUAUUACACAUACCUCGUGUUCAUCCACUUUCGACUCCUCUUUUUUGAAAAAAUCAGUUCUCAAAGCAUAAAGGGACGUUCCACUGAGCAGAGAAACGGUACAUCUGAACCAUGUCCGUUUUUGUUAAGGAACACUUUUGGGACUUUAGAACGAUCCGGGAGGCACCUGCAAUCCAUACCAUGCUGCUUCUAAGGAUUCCUUUGAAUCAAUAUAUGGAUGGUAUAGUAGGAAGAGCACUGGACAGGGAGUCAGAUAGACCAAAACUCUCAUGCAGGCUCUGUUCUUAACUAGUUGGAGGGUAGGCAAGACAAUUAACAUCUCUGGGCCUCAGUUUUAAGAUCUAUGGGAUCACUUCUGUGAUUCUCUGUAGCCCUAACUUUGACUUUCUUAUUGAAAAGCAUUUACCCGGUGCUUUACUACACGCUGGGCAAUAUCAUCAGAGUUUUGCACUCAAUUAGCUCCCUCAAAACCUUACGAGGAAACUGAGCCCUAGAGAAAAUAAGCCAUUUGCCCAAGGUCAGAUAGUAAAUAAUAGAGCCAGGAGUUGAACCCUGUAGGUAGACUUCCAAGUGCAUGCUCUGAACUCCAAUGUCACACUGCCUCACUGUCUUUGAGCUCCAGGGUUCAAGCCCUGUCCUCGGCUCUGCAGGCAGUGUAAAAAUGGAUAUAACAGGUCUCAAGUAGCUGAGGAUCUUGAAGAAUAAAAUUGAUCUGAAUUAUGACAGCCAAGGAGAAUAUUUGACCCCCUUUACUCCAAAACACAUUUAGAGUAUGAGAAGCUUAGCAUCCAUCCCAUCGCAUACGCUGACAUUAGAGGUUAAAUACAAUUUACUCAGCUAUGUACAGAUCAACCAGGCACAGGUCCAGAGGGCAGUGCGGCUCCAGCGACUAUCCCAUAGAGGCAUCCCAUUGCGCAGCCAUGGCUAGAGGGCCCAGUGAAUGGUCCCUGAAUCCCCCAGAGCCUCUCUAGAAUCUUUUCUUGCCAUUUCUAGCCCCUGCUAUGGCAGGCUACUGACUCCAGAUCUGGGUAGACUCCAAAGAGGCACAAGGAAAAGAAUUGCACAUUAAAAAUGGGGGCCUGUGCUCUGGAAAGCAGUGUGGAGGUUCCUCAGAAAAUUAAAAAUAGACCUACCCUAUGACCCAGCAAUAGCACUGCUAGGAAUUUCCCCAAGGGAUACAGGAGUACUGAUGCAUAGGGGCACUUGUACCCCAAUGUUUAUAGCAGCACUCUCAACAAUAGCCAAAUUGUGGAAAGAGCCUAAAUGUCCAUCAACUGAUGAAUGGAUAAAGAAAUUGUGGUUUAUAUACAUAAUGGAGUACUAUGUGGCAAUGA